rnacentral:rRNA from 2 species
GAUGAACGCUGGCGGCGUGCCUAAUACAUGCAAGUCGAACGGUACUCUUUCGGGAGUACAGUGGCGAACGGGUGAGUAAUACAUAAGGAACCUGCCCUCGGGACCGGGAUAGCUGAUGGAAACGUCAGGUAAUAGCGGAUGUGAGUCAUUAUGGCAUCAUGAUGACUUGAAAGGAUGCAGCAAUGCAUCGCGCGGGGAUGGCCUUAUGGCGCAUUAGCCAGUUGGCGGGGUAACGGCCCACCAAAGCGAUGAUGCGUAGCCGAUCUGAGAGGACGACCGGCCACAUUGGGACUGAGACACGGCCCAGACUCCUACGGGAGGCAGCAGUAGGGAAUUUUCGGCAAUGGGCGCAAGCCUGACCGAGCAACGCCGCGUGAGUGUUAAGGCCUUCGGGUUGUAAAGCUCUGUUGCCGGGGACGAACGGUACUUAUAGGAAAUGAUAAGUAAGUGACGGUACCCGGCGAGAAAGCCACGGCUAACUACGUG